CCUAUCUAACUUUUUUAAGCAUGUGAACACUAACAUAUAUUAAACCUCUUUUCUCUCCUAAGUUGAUUCUUCAAACAAAAUUAGGGUAAAAAACCAACUUAACCACAUUUAUGAAACAUUUUAUGUGUGACAAGAAUUGAUGUUGAUGUUGGAAAAAAUUGAAAAUGGAGCCAAAACAUCACAAAGCUAUCAAAGAGACAGCACAUGCAAAAUGGGGUUUGUAUCCGUACACUUGCUUAAAAAAUCACUUUUUAAUUAAUCACACAAAAUAAAGUUUUUCAGACAAGUUUGGAAAUACGUGGUGAUAUAUGUAUAUGCCUU
rnacentral:lncRNA from 1 species